UGGUCAGGCUAUCGGCAAUGGCUGCUCGCCUCGCCUUUUAUUAAGAAAGUUCUGCAAGCCCAGCAAAUCCACCGUCUAUACUUGGGCACGGAAUUUUAUUCCUGGGCUCCAUAAAGCUAUCAAUUAUCCCGUUAGUAACCCUACGUCACCUUGGCUGCGUUUUAGCCGGUAUCGUUUGCAGUUGCAGGAGGUUUUCAAUUUGCGCGUCACUCGGGCUGCGAUGUACUUUUUAAUGUCCAGACCUGACAAAAACGGCAACGACAACGGUUAACUGGUCUCGGCGCUCAGCAUCACUCCGGGGGGAAAGUCUCGUUUGGCCGAACUGGUCCUUAACGCCAGCUGGGAGGCUUGUCACAGUGAAUUCAAGCGAUGCUGAAUAACCUUUUUAACAAAAAGAUAUAAAACACGGCGUUUUUUAUAAUAAUGAAUCGUGGAAUCCAGUAAACCGCGGAUCCAAGCCAGAGACAAGAGAAGAUUAUACAUGUGGGCACAAGACAGAGCAGAGCCAGACAUUCGGUGGCUGUCUAGGAUGCCAUCAUCCGACUCUUAGAAGGAAAUCCCACCUGGCCACACUCCCAGUUCCAGCCCUGACAGCACUUCCACUUCCAGUCCUCCUAACACCCUAUAAAGCCGACCUGUUGUUCCCUGUAUUUCAGUUCGGUUGUGGACCCCGUCUGUUAAGACUAAUCUGUCUGUUAAUCUCGCUGCUUUGUUCAAGUAUAUGAGGUGGCUAC